GCUUCCUAAGAUGGGAAAGACAUAUACACAGUCCAGGAGCCAAGGUCCACAAAUUCUGCCUUUUUACCUCCCAGCACUCUUGAAGGCCUAGAUACAAAUACCUUUCCCCCACCUCUCCCAUAAAUGUACAGACUGACAACACAGUCAGAGAAAUGAACUGAACACCCCAUUUAAGUUAAAGAAAAUUCAACCUCUGUCUGCUGCCAUGUCUCUGCUGUCAGACCUGUUUCCUCUCCUUCAUCAUAAAGUCAUCAAAUAACAUUGCACUUUGUGCCUUCCCAGAGCUGAACUUUGGUUUGAGAUGGUGAAGGCUCAUUUCAGUUCAGUGUCAAAAACCUUGUCUGACCACCCAUACCCAUUAGGAUGAAGCAAGGGAUCAUCACUAGUCUCACACCUCCGUGGGGAGCCCUGAUUCUCAGUCCAGAAGUUGUACCCUGACAAAGACAAUCACCCUAAAAGACGACCUUCCAGGAUAUGGCUUCCCCAACAUUGCAGCUCACUCCCAGACAUUGCUAGAGUCAGGAGUACAACCCCUGCGUCCACCUUCACAUAUCCUGGUGGAGGAAAAGGCCAAUCUUAGAGCAGCAACAUCACCUGAGGUAGAACCUGAUAUGAACUGUCACACAGUCUGGGUUUAUCUCCAGGAAACAGAUUUCAGAUGGAAAACUAUCAACUUCAUGGAGCCAAUGUACUUGAAGAAGACUCAGUUCAUUGACAGUGAAGUCAGCAAAGGGAAAUGCUUAGAAAGGCUGGUUUGCUGUGUUGCCCUCAGACUAUUUUGUUCAUGGUGUUACUUUAAAGGGUUUCAACUUGGUACUGGAUGUAUUCAAGAGUCACAUGCAAAAUUGAAAGACUCCUAGAAACGGACACAAAACCUCUAGACAGAGAAAGGCACAUGCAUUUCCUUCCGGCAUCUCAGGCAGUCCUUCAACAAAUGCUUUCUGGAGUGGCUGGAAUGUAGUGGUUCUGUUGUAAGGGAUUGAAAAUAGAAAGGUGGCCAGGGUGCUGUACGUGCUCCCCAAAAGAGCUUAGAAAUGAUAAAAACAAGAUGCCAGUGAGACAGAGCAGGCUCCACCCCAGGUGUGGGAAGGACUAACAGAAGCUGAGUCUCCAGGGAAGAGAAGGAAGUAUUUCCUUUUCAAUGUGAAUGAGGGACUCUAAAGGCCCUGAUCUCCUCCUGAGAACAAAAGGAAAUACUGUACAAAGGAGAAAACAUGUGAGCGAAUGCACCACAUUUCUAAUGACCCCAUGAAGACACAUGUGACCAAGAUGGAGAAGAAGGAAGCCCAGGACAAAGCCAGCCUGGCAGUGGGAACCAAUCUCCCCAGGACUCAUCAAUGAACUUGGGGAUAGAAAACUGAACUGCAAAAUAGCUGAACAACUUUAUGGGCACAGACUUAGAAGGAAACGUGUUUAGUUCAGAGGCAGCCAGCAAAGAUGAGCCCUGGUGAAGCUGCGGGCUUUGGUCAAGACUCAGAAGAGUUACACUUCAAAAAUCGGGGGACAGGAAAUAACUCAGCUUCCUUAGGGAUUGGCCUGCUGUGAACAAUCUCACUAGCAGAACUGAUGCAGGGAUCCAGUACUACUGGCACCCCUACCCCCUUUCCAGAAAUAAAUUUCUGUGGUUUCUGCAGCAAAAUCAUUGAUUUUUCCCCUACACAUUCUUGACCCAUGUGUGGUCCUGAACAAAAAUGACCUAAUUCCUGGAUGACAAGACAACGUGAUGGGACUGAAUCCCAAGCAGAUACAGAUAUCAAUGUUAUUAAUGCUGAUACCUUCCCUCUUCCACCCCAAAUACAUGACACAAUAUGUGACAAGCACUUAGGACAGAAAGGAAAAUGCGGGUGACAGAAAGCCAGAAAGCUCUUCUGAAAUACUACAUGGAGUUGGCUGUCUGCUGAAUUCAUACAGAGUUAUGGCACCUCAGGUGCCAUGAUUUUUUCCAGACUGCUACAAACAAAAUAAAAGCCACCAAAUGAGAAAAAGAAUAAAACACGGCUAGAGCUAAAGCACAAGCAACAACAGAAAUAACAGUUGAUGUUUAAAAAAAGAGCAAAAAGAGCUCUGCAGACCUCAGUUCUCCUGAUAAAUUCUAGCUCAUCAAAUCUAGGCAUGACCCGGUUUUGACACCAUUAACAUAUUUCCCCAUUCUAAAGUUUGAAAGGACGAUGAGAGGCCGAGGCCAGCCCUAAACUCUUGCCAGGAUAUUAGAAUAUCAUCAUGCUAUCAAAAAGCCACUUAGGAACCUCUGAGCUUCCCUGUCCCUUGUCACCCAGCCCCACAGGCGGGUAAGUGAAAAGGAAUAUGAACACACCAAAUACUCAAUAUUUGUGUUUCUGUGUGAAGGCAAGUUUUCUCCAGUGGCAGGGAGAGGGGCAAAUACUCAUUUAGAAAUAAAUUCCAAAGUACUCUGUUCUUCCAGAAAAGAUCUGCCCUCAAGAGGAACGAAGAGCCUAACUGGGGAUUUCCCAAAGAGUAAGCAAUACAGGUGAGGGAAAAUACUCAACUCCAGGGCUCUCACCUUCCUGUCUCACCUGGGAGUCAAUUCAGACUAACCCCUAGCCAGAUAAAUAUAAAAACCUCACACUCAUGUCCUAUUUACCUCAGUUCCUUUACCAGCACAUAACAUUUGCCUUUCAACACAACUUACAAGGCAUAGUAAAGUAAAAACCACACAGUUUGAACACAGAUAGCAAGCAUUAGAAUUACACUUCCUAUGGCAGAGAUGUAGGAAUUAUCAUCCUGGGAACUUAAAACCACUUCCAUUCCUAUGAUAAUGCAGAUGAUGAAAAAAGUGGACAACAUGUAAAAAGAGAUGGUGAAUGUAAGCAGACAGCUGAACCUCUAAGAUUUUAAAGUGAUUUGAGAAGCAGCGAAGGCAGUCCUGAGAGGAAAAUACAUUGCAAUCCAGGCCUAUCUCAGGAAACAAGAAAAAUC